UCCGCGGUAGCUAAUUGGUAGAGCGGCUCGCUGUUAACGAGUUGGUCGUAGGUUCGAAUCCUACCCGCGGAG
rnacentral:tRNA from 1 species